AGGGGCAUGGUGUCAACGGUAGCACGCCGGUCUCCAACACCGUCGGUACGGGUUCAAAUCCUGUUGCCCCUGCCA
rnacentral:tRNA from 1 species